rnacentral:rRNA from 1 species
UACGAAGGGGGCUAGCGUUGCUCGGAAUCACUGGGCGUAAAGGGUGCGUAGGCGGGUUUUUAAGUCAGGGGUGAAAUCCUGGAGCUCAACUCCAGAACUGCCUUUGAUACUGAAGAUCUCGAGUCCGGGAGAGGUGAGUGGAACUGCGAGUGUAGAGGUGAAAUUCGUAGAUAUUCGCAAGAACACCAGUGGCGAAGGCGGCUCACUGGCCCGGUACUGACGCUGAGGAGCGAAAGCGUGGGGAGCAAACAGG